GACGGGGGGUCCAAGCGUUGUUCGGAAUUACUGGGCGUAAAGCGUGCGUAGGUGGUGAGUUAAGUCUGAUGUGAAAUCCCCGGGCUCAACCUGGGAAUGGCAUUGGAUACUGGCUCGCUAGAGUGCGGUAGAGGGUGGUGGAAUUCCCGGUGUAGCAGUGAAAUGCGUAGAGAUCGGGAGGAACAUCUGUGGCGAAGGCGGCCACCUGGACCAACACUGACACUGAGGCACGAAAGCGUGGGGAGCAAACAGG
rnacentral:rRNA from 1 species